CAGCAAGUGAAGAUAUAAAUUGAUAACGAACUGACAAGUCUGCUCAUACAUAUCACUUUGACGCAGAAGACUAACGUUAAGUUGGAAUUAUGAAGCCAGAGUCUGUAUUCGCUCGACUUUUGAUCGUUAGUUUCCUGCUUGCGUUGUUUUUAGACGAUGCUCAUAGUGCAGUUGGAGUUAAUCAUGCAGGAACAAACUUCAAGCGCCUGAUGACGAACCAUCGACGAAAUGUGUGUGAAGCUGCUCGAACGUUAAACUGCGCAAGCGAAUUUCAAAAUCAGCCAGAUGACUUGUUAGGAGAGCAGAAGAUUUUAUCACAAUCCACCAUGUCAGAAUAAAAAAACACUUCGUGUCAGAAACUUGUUUUGUAAUCAAACGGUCGGGUUCUCUAACCCUCCCCCCCCCCUUUUCCUCAGUGAUGUGACAGUUAUUAAACAGUUGUGAAAGAGCACUAAGGCUAUGGUGAGG